UACGGAGGGUGCGAGCGUUAAUCGGAAUUACUGGGCGUAAAGGGUGCGUAGGUGGUUUGAUAAGUUAGUUGUGAAAUUCCUGGGCUCAACCUAGGCACUGCAACUAAAACUGUUGAACUCGAGUAUGGGAGAGGGCAGUGGAAUUUCCGGUGUAGCGGAGAAAUGCGUAGAGAUCGGAAGGAACACCAGUGGCGAAGGCGGCUGCCUGGCCUAAUACUGACACUGAGGCACGAAAGCGUGGGGAGCAAACGGG
rnacentral:rRNA from 1 species